rnacentral:rRNA from 1 species
UACGUAGGGUGCGAGCGUUGUCCGGAAUUACUGGGUGUAAAGGGUCCGCAGGCGGACAUGUAAGUCGAUGGUGAAAUUUCUUGGCUCAACCAGGAACCUGCUGUCGAUACUAUAUGUCUUGAGUCCGAGAGAGGAUAGUGGAAUUCAUGGUGUAGCGGUGAAAUGCGUAGAGAUCAUGAAGAACACCGGUAGCGAAGGCGGCUAUCUGGCUCGGUACUGACGCUCAGGGACGAAAGCGUGGGUAGCAAACAGG